UACGAACUGUGCAAACGUUAUUCGGAAUCACUGGGCUUAAAGGGUGCGUAGGCGGCUGUCUAAGCAGGGUGUGAAAGCCCCCGGCUCAACCGGGGAAUUGCGUUCUGAACUGGACGGCUGGAGUGGGAUAGAGGGGUGCGGAACUUCCGGUGGAGCGGUGAAAUGUGUUGAUAUCGGAAGGAACGCCGGUGGCGAAAGCGGCACACUGGGUCUCAACUGACGCUGAGGCACGAAAGCCAGGGGAGCGAACGGG
rnacentral:rRNA from 1 species